UACGGAGGGGGCUAGCGUUGUUCGGAAUUACUGGGCGUAAAGCGCACGUAGGCGGCUUUGUAAGUCAGGGGUGAAAUCCCGAGGCUCAACCUCGGAACUGCCUUUGAUACUGCAAAUCUCGAGUCCGGAAGAGGUGAGUGGAAUUCCUAGUGUAGAGGUGAAAUUCGUAGAUAUUAGGAAGAACACCAGUGGCGAAGGCGGCUCACUGGCCCGGUACGGACGCUGAGGUGCGAAAGCGUGGGAGCAAACAGG
rnacentral:rRNA from 1 species